rnacentral:rRNA from 1 species
UGUCACUUAUAGAUGACCUUGCGGUGCAUUAGUUAGUUGGUGGGUAACGGCCUACCAAGACGAUGAUGCAUAGCCGACCUGAGAGGGUGAUCGGCCACAUUGGGACUGAGACACGGCCCAAACUCCUACGGGAGGCAGCAGUAGGGAAUCUUCCGCAAUGGGCGAAAGCCUGACGGAGCAAUGCCGCGUGAGUGAAGAAGGCCUUCGGGUCGUAAAACUCUGUUAUAAGAGAAGAACAAACUGUAGAGUAACUGCUACAGUCUUGACGGUAUCUUAUCAGAAAGCCACGGCUAACUACGUG